rnacentral:tRNA from 1 species
CCGCCCGUAGCUCAGCUGGUUAGAGCGAUCGCCUCUUAAGCGAAAGGUCCCUGGUUCGAAUCCAGGCGGGCGGA